rnacentral:rRNA from 1 species
GACGAACGCUGGCGGCGUGCUUAACACAUGCAAGUCGAACGGUAAGGCCCUUCGGGGUACACGAGUGGCGAACGGGUGAGUAACACGUGGGUGAUCUGCCCUGCACUUCGGGAUAAGCCUGGGGAACUGGGUCUAAUACCGGAUAGGACCACUGCCUGCAUGGGUGGUGGGGGAAAGCUUUUGCGGUGUGGGAUGGGCCCGCGGCCUAUCAGCUUGUGGGUGGGGUGAUGGCCUACCAAGGCGACGACGGGUAGCCGGCCUGAGAGGGUGACCGGCCACACUGGGAGUGAGAUACGGCCCAGACUCCUACGGGAGGCAGCAGUGGGGAAUAUUGCACAAUGGGCGCAAGCCUGAUGCAGCGACGCCGCGUGAGGGAUGACGGCCUUCGGGUUGUAAACCUCUUUCAGCACCGACGAAGCGCAAGUGACGGUAGGUGCAGAAGAAGGACCGGCCAACUACGUGCCAGCCGCCGCCGUAA